UCCGGUUUGUCACCGGCAGUCUCAUUAGAGUGCCCAACUGAAUGUAGCAACUAAUGACAAGGGUUGCGCUCGUUGCGGGACUUAACCCAACACCUCACGGCACGAGCUGACGACAGCCAUGCACCACCUGUGACGACGCCCCGAAGGGAAACCGUGUUUCCACGGCUGUCAUCGACAUGUCAAGUCCAGGUAAGGUUCUUCGCGUUGCGUCGAAUUGAACCACAUGCUCCGCUGCUUGUGCGGGUCCCCGUCAAUUCCUUUGAGUUUUAGCCUUGCGGCCGUACUCCCCAGGCGGGGCACUUAAUGCGUUAGCUUCGGCACGGAAGGAGUCGAUACCUCCCACACCUAGUGCCCAUCGUUUACGGCGUGGACUAC
rnacentral:misc_RNA from 1 species